UUUAAGAAAUCCUUCAGUUUUCUGAUCUUUGUGUAUUGGAUGUUUUUUUUUUCUUUAUUUUUUUGUUUAAAAUCAUAACUGACAAAUCAUUUAUGGAUGCAAAGUAUUAAGUUUAAUAGUUUAAGUAUUUUCUUUUUUUUCUUUUUAUAUUUUUGAACUAUAAAAAAAACAAGGUUCUGUGAAAGCCACAAAUUAAUUAUUGGGUUGUCUUCCUUGACACAUUAUUUUCAUGUUAUGACAUUCCAUUUUUGUAACAAAAGUUUUGGUGUCUGAACUAAGUGAUUUUUUUUUUCAAAUUAUUUGAGCAAAAAUGCUUACUCUGUUCUUAAAAGCUUAUUUCUUUCUUUUUCUUAGAGCUUUGUAAAUAUACAAUAAUUACAGAACAGCUAUGAUUUCAUUAUGUGCAUAUUAUUGAAUACCAUUUUUCAAUUAAUAAUUUUUUUUUAUUGUAAAUAAAAAUGAGGGAAAUAAGUGUUAAUAUGAAUCUGUUUUAUGGGAGACUUUUAUUGGUGAAAUGUUAAAUCUGAAUGUUCUUUAAUUGAACAGGUUGUGCCUGUGUUCUGUCUUUAUUGUAUUCAAAUCUUAAAUUGUUAUAUAUUCUAAUUUUGUUAUGAGAGACUUGAUUGUAAUCUUAAUAAAAGUGUAUUAGGUAUAUUUUAACCGCUUACGUGAAAGAUACAGUAUAUCCAUUCUAGUCAAUUUGUGUAAAAAAUAUUUUUAUGGGGCAUAUGCAGCACUUGGAUAGACAUUUCUAUUGGUUUUACGAAAAACUAAAAUCGAUAAUAUUGAGCUAAGAUAUCCCACUUUGCAGUUAUUUCAUUUUUGGCUGGGAUGGUGUGUACUGUAAUUUCACUUAAGUACUUGGAUUAUAGCUGUAGUAUGGUAGUGAUGUUCUUGUCAAAAACUGCCCCCGAAUCCAUUCACUUGAUUUGAUAUUUGUUUAUUUGGUGCAAUGUCUAUUUUCUGUCUUGUCCGCAGGUUUAUCUUGUAGAUUUUUGUAGAUGAUAUUACACAUAUACUAUAAUAUUAAUAUCUGCUUAAAGUAUAAUAUAUAAAAUACAUUUAAGAUAUCAAAUAGAAAAAACAAAACAUAAUGAAUUAUUUGUAUUUGAAAGCUAUGAAUAUAUUGAUUUAAUAUCUGCUUAAAGUGUAAUAUAUAAAAUACUUUUAAGAUAUAUUACACAUAUACUAGAUUAUUUAUAUCUGCUUAAAGUAUAAUAUAUAAAAUACAUUUAAGAUAUCAAAUAGAAAAAACAAAACAUAAUGAAAUAUUUGUAUUUGAAAGCUUUGAAUAUAUUGAUUUACAUUUAUUUUAAAGGCACUGAUCAUGAACUAUCAUAUUGUUGCCAUAUCUCAUAGAAAUCCAGUGAUCAUUGCCAUCUUCAUUAGCCUGGUAGGUGCAGAAAAGUAGGAUAGUAAACCCCAUUUCAUUUUAUUUGACAAUUCCGUUUUUUAGCUAUAUGCAAUUUCUUGUUUUGUUCCAUCACAACCUCUGACAUACAAAGACUUCUAAACAAAUUUAAAAUAAAAUUAUUUUAUCUCACAUGUUAGAAAGUGUAAGUAAUAAAAGAAUACUUCAAAUGGCAUUAUGGUAGAGAGCUAUUGAUAUAUAGAUUAGUAAAUGGUAAAUGUUUUAUGUUUAAAAGCAAUGUAAUUGAAAUACUAAAUUUGAAGUUUAAUAUAUUUGUAAUAAACUUUUGAUAUGAAAUGCUAAAAUUGAAGUUAAAUAAAUUUGCAAUAUUAUGAUAUGAAAUACUAAAGUUUAAAGAGGAAUUAUCACUCAUAACAGAAAUUAAUUGAAAUUAUAUAUAAUUUUAUAUGACAUCAAUGUUCAAAUUAAAUGUUUGCUUACCAAAAUAUUAAAAAUUUACACUCUGGCUGGUAUGGAUGUCAACUCUUUGAAUACAAUGGGCUAUAAUGUGUACAACUUUUUAUGAAUCUUAAUAUCUCAGCAAUGGAUUGUUAGCAGUGUCUCAAAUUUUGAAAUCAAUCCAAAUUAUAAUGUAUAUGUAGCACCAAAUUAUGGCAAAUUGAAAAUGCUAAUGAUUCUUUAAGUAAGAUAUGAUAAACAGAAGUUAAAGUAGUAUUUUUGUUAUGAAUGUUAUUUCAAAGCUGUAAUAUAUUGUCAUACAUAAUAUUGUUAUUAUUGAGGGUCAAGUACACUAUAGAGUCCUAUUAUUUGUUUUAAAGUAGGCCUAGUUGCUGAUGCUUGUACAUAGUGGAUUUUAUUGUAAAUAGUUUUAAAUAUAUGUACUUUGAUUUAAUUUGACAUAAUUUAUUUAAUUUAGACCUUGAAAAGAUAUCUGAAUAAAAGUUUAUAAUCUUUAAUUACAAAUAUAAAUGGUGUCAAAUAUGCAUAUAUAGAGAGUGAUUUCUCAUGUGUAAAAACGUUUAAACCUGAGGGGUAGUCUCAGAUUUCACAGGUUACUGUAAAUAAAAGUGGGUAAAUCGGGCACAAAAAGUAAGGACGACAAGUUGAUGUCAUUUACAUGUACGCUACAAUAAAGUCUAGAAGUUUGUAUUAUUUACAUUACAAUAAGGUUCAGAAGAAGUUUUGUGUUAUUUUACAUUACAGUAAGGUCUAGAAGUUUUAUGUUAUUUUACAUUACAAUGAGGUCUAAAAGUUUGUUAUUUUACAUUUACCAUUACAACAUUAAUUAUGGUCUAGAAGUUUGUUAUUUUACAUUUACCAUUACAACAUUAAUUAUGGUCUAGAAGUUUAUUAUUUACACCAUAUUAAGGUCUGAAAGUUUAUAUUAUUUACAUUACAGUAGGGUCUAGAAGUUUAUGUUAUUUUACAUUACAGUACGUAGGGUCUAGAAAUUUAUUAUUUUGCAUUUACCAUUACAACAUUAAUUAUGGUUUAGAAUUUACACCAUAAUCAAGUCUAAAAGUUUAUGUUAUUUUACAUUACAGUACGUAGGGUAUAGAAAUUUGUUAUUUUGCAUUUACCAUUACAACAUUAAUUAUGGUUUAGAAUUUACACCAUAAUCAAGUCUAAAAGUUUAUAUUAUUUACAUUACAGUAGGAUCUACAGGUUUAUGUUAUUUUACAUUACAGUAGGUAGGGUCUAGAAAUUUAUGUUAUUUACAUUACUUAUGAUCUAGUAGUUUAGAUUAGAUACUACUACAGUAAGGUCUAGAAGUUUGUUAUUUACAUUUAACCUACAAUAAGGUCCAGAAGUUUAUAAUAUUUACACAAGAGUAAGGUCCAGAAAUUUAUGUUAUUUACAUUACAAUAAUAUCUUGUGACAUAUAUACCGGUAGUCUGACAUUUUUUAUCUACCGGUAGUCAAUAAACAGACAAUUUGGCUUGGGCAAUCGUUACUUAUCACAGAACCUAAAAUUGAUAAAGAAUUAAGUUAUGUUUGAUCUUCAUGUACCUGCAGUGUAGACCAACCACAGUUUAAAAAAGGAAUGCUGUUAAUAAAAAUUAAAACAGAAUUGGAAUACGCCAACACCCAUAUAAUCUUCUUCAAAAAUAUGUUAUUUUUUUUUUGUAAAAUACAGCAAUGUACAGAUACUUUAAAGAUGUGUUCGCAAAUGUUGACUAAAAAGACUAAUUUGUUAGUCAUGUUGACUGUUGUUGCAUAGAUUUUUACGUCCAUAAAACUACAGUUGUCCAUAUUUGUUAUUUGUUAUAGAGAAGUGCCUUCUGUAAUAUUACAUACUGUUAAUAUAAAAUAUGUAUCAUCCAAGACUGACAUGUUCAUAGUUAAUAUAUUAACUUUAAUGUUUAAAUACCCAUCGAGAUCAACAUUUUCUUCACAAACGACAAUCGAAAGUUUAUUUUCAAUCAUAUUUUUAAGAAUGACAUUGUUUGUUUAUUGUCCAUAUAAACAUAAAAAUGUGUAGUAUUUUUAGAAUUGAAGAGCUUUGAAUCUUAUUUAAAAAUUAUCUGGGAAUUCUUAAAUGCAAUUUGUAUCAAAAGAUCCAGAUAAUAUUUUGUGCGUAGAAUAAAGUAUGGCUAUUUUUUAUACAUAAUAGAACAAAGAUGUGAAAUUAAAUACUUAUAUUAGAGAAUGUUCUCAUUUGUAUUUAAGAGAGUUGUACAGCUUUAUGGAUUUGAUGGUACAAGGAACUGCUAUGCCAAGGGGAAAUAAUUGCUUUUGUUACAAAAUAAGGAAGAUUGUGCUUUUUACAUUUUGACCUUAUUUAAUAAACUUAUUUUUAUUAAUGGA